rnacentral:rRNA from 1 species
CUUGGUCAUUUAGAGGAAGUAAAGUCGUACAAGGUUUCCGUAGGUGAACCU